rnacentral:rRNA from 1 species
GCAUAUCAAUAAGCGGAGGAAAAGAAAACCAACAGGGAUUGCCUCAGUAACGGCGAGUGAAGCGGCAACAGCUCAAAUUUGAAAUCUGGCUCUUUCAGGGUCCGAGUUGUAAUUUGUAGAAGAUGCUUCGAGUGUUAGCCUGGUCUAAGUUCCUUGGAACAGGACGUCAUAGAGGGUGAGAAUCCCGUAUGUGACUAGUGCUCUCGCUCAUGUGAAGCUCUUUCGACGAGUCGAGUUGUUUGGGAAUGCAGCUCAAAAUGGGUGGUAAAUUUCAUCUAAAGCUAAAUAUUGGCCAGAGACCGAUAGCGCACAAGUAGAGUGAUCGAAAGAUGAAAAGCACUUUGGAAAGAGAGUUAAACAGUACGUGAAAUUGUUGAAAGGGAAGCGCUUGCAACUAGACUUGCAUGCCGUCGAUCAUCCGAGGUUUUCCCCGGUGCACUCGGCGGUGUUCAGGCCAGCAUCGGUUUGGGUGGUUGGAUAAAGGCCUUGGGAAUGUAGCUUCUUUCGGGGAGUGUUAUAGCCCUCGGUGCAAUGCAGCCUACCUGGACCGAGGACCGCGCUUCGGCUAGGAUGCUGGCGUAAUGGUUGUAAGCGACCCGUCUUGAAACACGGACCAAGGAGUCUAACAUCUAUGCGAGUGUUUGGGUGUCAAACCCAUACGCGUAAUGAAAGUGAACGGAGGUGAGAACCCUUAAGGGUGCAUCAUCGACCGAUCCUGAUGUCUUCGGAUGGAUUUGAGUAAGAGCAUAGCUGUUGGGACCCGAAAGAUGGUGAACUAUGCCUGAAUAGGGUGAAGCCAGAGGAAACUCUGGUGGAGGCUCGCAGCGGUUCUGACGUGCAAAUCGAUCGUCAAAUUUGGGUAUAGGGGCGAAAGACUAAUCGUACCAUCUAGUAGCUGGCUCUGCGAG